AUUCCUACGGGAGGCAGCAGUAAGGAAUAUUGGUCAAUGGGCGCAAGCCUGAACCAGCCAUGCCGCGUGAAGGAUGACGGCCCUAUGGGUUGUAAACUUCUUUUGUACGGGAAAAAACCACCGGUCGUGUAUCGGUGCUGAUGGUACCGUAAGAAUAAGCAUCGGCUAACUCCGUGCCAGCAGCCGCGGUAAUACGGAGGAUGCAAGCGUUAUCCGGAUUCAUUGGGUUUAAGGGUGCGCAGGCGGAGUGAUAAGUCAGUGGUGAAAGCCUACAGCUUAACUGUAGAACUGCCAUUGAUACUGUCAUUCUUGAGUAUUGUUGAGGUAGGCGGAAUGUGUAAUGUAGCGGUGAAAUGCUUAGAUAUUACACAGAACACCGAUUGCGAAGGCAGCUUACUGGGCCAUUACUGACGCUGAGGCACGAAAGCGUGGGGAGCGAACAGGAUUAGAUACCCUGGUAGUCCACGCCGUAAACGAUGAUCACUCGCUGUUGGCGAUACACAGUCAGCGGCUAAGCAAAAGCAUUAAGUGAUCCACCUGGGGAGUACGGCCGCAAGGCUGAAACUCAAAGGAAUUGACGGGGGCCCGCACAAGCGGAGGAACAUGUGGUUUAAUUCGAUGAUACGCGAGGAACCUUACCUGGGCUUAAAUGUAGAGUGCAUGGGGUAGAAAUAUCCCUUUCCUUCGGGACUCUUUACAAGGUGCUGCAUGGUUGUCGUCAGCUCGUGCCGUGAGGUGUCGGGUUAAGUCCCAUAACGAGCGCAACCCUUAUCGUUAGUUGCCAGCGGGUAAUGCCGGGAACUCUAACGAAACUGCCGGUGUAAACCGUGAGGAAGGUGGGGAUGACGUCAAAUCAGCACGGCCCUUAUGUCCAGGGCUACACACGUGUUACAGUGGCCGGUACAGAGGGCGGCUACCUGGAGACAGGAUGCGAAUCUCCAAAGCCGGUCUCAGUUCGGAUCGGAGUCUGCAACUCGACUCCGUGAAGCUGGAUUCGCUAGUAAUCGCGCAUCAGCCAUGGCGCGGUGAAUACGUUCCCGGGCCUUGUACACACCGCC
rnacentral:rRNA from 1 species